GGAACACCUCUAGUGGCAGCCACUCAGACGGUCAUUACAAUUGCUUCCUGAGUACUGUACAGCACUUCUCCAAGAUCUGCAUGAAGGUGCUGAACGUUCCCCAUUGAGAUGUAUUGAUUCAAUGCAUCUCCAUGAGGAGGUGGUGAUUGGAGAGGGGCAUUGUUUUGCAGUACAUGCACAAUGGUCUCCCAAUGCUUUCCCAUAGGAAAGCAUUGGAUUGGCUGGGUUCAUCAAGACUGAAGAUCUCAGCCGAGGAAAUGGGUUG